rnacentral:rRNA from 1 species
AGUGAAUAUAGGACGUCCAACUUAACUUGGAGUCCGAACUCUCACUUUCUAACCCUGUGCAUUUGUUUGGGAUAGUAACUCUCGCAAGAGGGCGAACUCCUAUUCACUUAUAAACACAAAGUCUAUGAAUGUAUUAAAUUUUAUAACAAAAUAAAACUUUCAACAACGGAUCUCUUGGCUCUCGCAUCGAUGAAGAACGCAGCGAAAUGCGAUAAGUAAUGUGAAUUGCAGAAUUCAGUGAAUCAUCGAAUCUUUGAACGCACCUUGCGCUCCAUGGUAUUCCGUGGAGCAUGCCUGUUUGAGUGUCAUGAAUACUUCAACCCUCCUCUUUCUUAAUGAUUGAAGAGGUGUUUGGUUUCUGAGCGCUGCUGGCCUUUAGGGUCUAGCUCGUUCGUAAUGCAUUAGCAUCCGCAAUCGAACUUCGGAUUGACUUGGCGUAAUAGACUAUUCGCUGAGGAAUUCUAGUCUUCGGACUAGAGCCGGGUUGGGUUAAAGGAAGCUUCUAAUCAGAAUGUCUACAUUUUAAGAUUAGAUCUCAAAUCAGGUAGGACUACCCGCUGAACUUAA